UCCCACAGCCCUAUAACCUCCAGCCAAACACCGGUUACUCACUGAAGCUAAACAGGGCUGAGCCUGCUCAGUACCUGGAUGGGAGACCAUAUGGGAAAAUUAGGACGCUGUUGUAA
ensembl:rRNA 5S_rRNA 5S ribosomal RNA